GGCUCCUGCGGCCCUUGGUACACAGAUUAGGAAAACCACAAGAAUAGCUGCCCUUGUUCUUUUCACUUCAAAGCCUGCAGAAGGCUGUGAAGGGCUCGCUCUCUGCCUGAACCGGGGAGGCCAAUUCCAGAGAAAGCCUUUCAUACGAGCCUGGGGUGGGGUGGGGAACUUACCCACAGGAAGGCAAGUGGAUGUCAGAGCCAGUGGCCACACAGGUGCCCUCUGCCUCGGCUGGUGCUCUUGGAGGAAGUGCAAGUUCAGAGCCUCUCCAGAGCCUGUCGUCCUGACAGAGCAAUGAAGGUCACGCUGGGAGGAGAGUCCCGUACUGACACCAGCAGCUGCAGGGUGAAAAGCCUUUUCCUCUCCUGCUCCGUGCCCAUAUACCUGCCUAUAGAUGAAGCUUGCCAGAAGCAAAGCAGCUCAACGAGGACUCUGGUAGGUGACUGACCAGCUCAUCUCUCACGGGAGCCCGGACACGAUGCCCCUGUGUAAGUAGAUCCCCCAGCUAACAGGUUGGUCCUGCAUCCCAACCAUGAACCAGCAAGUGCCUGUGGAAGAUCACUCAGGCUUUAGAUCAGGGCUAGGGUGGCUGACGGGUGGGACCUGCCAGAGGCACCAUCUCAGAUCUGGGCCCUGCUGGGCAAUUGCUCGUCAUGCAGCCAUAGUCACUGUGAUGGAAGAGGGGAUAGAACCCCC
rnacentral:lncRNA from 1 species